rnacentral:rRNA from 1 species
AUUGAACGCUGGCGGCAGGCCUAACACAUGAAAGUCGAGCGGAGCGGCGGACGGGUGAGUAAUGCCUAGGAAUCUGCCUGGUAGUGGGGGAUAACGUCCGGAAACGGGCGCUCAUACCGCAUACUCUCAGAUGAGCCUAGGUCGGCUUAGCUAGUUGGUUGGGUAAAGGCCUACCAAGGCGACGAUCCGUAACUGGUCUGAGAGGAUGAUCAGUCAAACUGGAACUGAGACACGGUCCAGACUCCUACGGGAGGCAGCAGUGGGGAAUAUUGCACAAUGGGCGCAAGCCUGAUACAGCCAUGCCGCGUGUAUGAAGAAGGCCUUCGGGUUGUAAAGUACUUUCAGCGGGGAGGCGUUACCCGCAGAAGAAGCACCGGCUAACUCCGUGCCAGCAGCCGCGGUAAUUC